GUAAGGAAUAUUGCCCAAUGGACGAAAGUCUGAGGCAGCGACGCCGCGUGGAUGAUGAAGGCCUUCGGGUUGUAAAAUCCUUUUCUGGGGGAAGAGAAAGGACGGUACCCCAGGAAUAAGCCCUGGCUAACUACGUGCCAGCAGCCGCGGUAAAACGUAGAGGGCAAGCGUUAUCCGGAUUUACUGGGCGUAAAGAGCGUGGAGGCGGUUCUGUAAGUUGGGCGUGAAAGCUCCGAGCUCAACUCGGAGAGGUCGUUCAAUACUGCAGAACUUGAGGGCAGCAGAGGGAGGUGGAAUUCCCGGUGGAGCGGUGAAAUGCGUAGAUAUCGGGAGGAACACCAGUGGCGAAGGCGGCCUCCUGGGCUGCUUCUGACGCUGAAGGCGAAAGCUAGGGGAGCAAACGGGAUUAGAAACCCCGGUAGUCCUAGCCGUAAACGAUGGAUGCUAGAUGUGGGGGGUAUAGAUUCCCUCCGUGUCGUAGUUAACGCGUUAAGCAUCCCGCCUGGGGAGUACGGCCGCAAGGCUA
rnacentral:rRNA from 1 species